rnacentral:rRNA from 1 species
AGCGAACGCUGGCGGCGUGCCUAACACAUGCAAGUCGAACGUGAAAGGGAGCAAUCCCAAGUAAAGUGGCGUACGGGUGAGUAACACGUAGGUAAUCUACCCCAGAAUCUGGAAUAACCGGCCGAAAGGCUGGCUAAUACUGGAUAGAGCGACGGAAUCCGUAAUUGGGUUUUUCGGGAAAGGGAGCCUGUAAAAAGGCCUUCGUUCUGGGAUGAGCCUGCGUCCCAUCAGCUAGUUGGUGAGGUAAAAGCUUACCAAGGCAAUGACGGGUAGCUGGUCGGAGAGGACGAUCAGCAACACUGGAACUGAAACACGGUCCAGACUCCUACGGGAGGAAGCAGUGGGGAAUCUUGCGCAAUGGACGAAAGUCUGACGCAGCAACGCCGCGUGAGUGAAGAAGGCCUUCGGGUUGUAAAGCUCUGUCGAGUGGGACGAAAAUGCUUGGAGUUCACAGCUCCAGGAACUGACGGUACCAAUAAAGGAAGCACCGGCUAACUCCGUG